CCUGUCAAUUAUCCAUAGAUGAUACUACAUUUGUCCAGAGCUUUAUCCUUAAAUGUAUAGUUCCAUGGGAAUAUACUUGCAAAACUUACCCCAAUAAUGACUAAUGUUGGUCAAUGUCAUAACAAUCUGGACCCUAUUCCGAUGUAGAAAAAUAUUAGGACCCAGUGGAGUUGCUAAUGAUGUAUACAUUCCAUUGGGUCUCUAAGCACAAAAUUGGGAUUACGGCAUGGAUUUACUUUGGUACGUAAGGUGCUAAGAUAUGUUAUUUUCUAUUUGUGCUUCAGGCAAUCUGUAGGGUACCAUUCUCCUUUACAUUCUCCUAUUAAGGAUGCUUUCUGGACUUCUUUUUAUCAGAAUAUUGCUAUCAUGUAGAGCGGAAACGCAUAUUACU